GUCAAGAUGGCCGAAAAGGAACGGCUGCGGUCUACAGCUCCCAGCUUGAGCGACACAGAAGACGGUGAUUUCUGCAUUUCCAUCUGAGGUAGUGACAAAGAUAAAGAAUUGGAGAAAGGGAAAAGCAGUCCAGGAUCUUCAGGACACAGAAGAGGAGAGAAGCCCAGGAACCUGAGCUACUAAAGGGAGCUUGUGCCACACAGGGAUGAGACGAAAGGUUUCACAAGUACAAGAUUACAACAGUGGGCUUCAGUCUGGAAACAAGGAAGAACAUAAGCAGACAGGCUUCGCUGAGGCUGCUGCUCAGGGUACUAGUAUCUAAAUCUCUGAAAUUGAGAUACUACUUCAAUCUGUAAGGGAUUCCAGAGUGCUUGUCUCUAUAGACCCUUGGCAGAAGCAAAUGAAAAAUCACCUCAGGAAGAUGAUCUCUUCCUGUGUCUCUCAGGGCCAGAUUAGAGUGAGGUGAGAUUGGCAGUCACCUCAGGUGUAAAAUUUAAGAGGAAAGGAGAAUGCCAAGAAAACCCUAAUCAAGUGAUCAGAAACUCAAGUUAUGCACAGAAUGUUUAUGUCCCCUGAAAAUUCAUAUCUUGAAUCCUAACUGCCAAUGUGAUGGCAUUAGAAGGUGGGAAUAUGUGAAAUAAAGGAACUCAUAAAUGAUGCCACAAACG
rnacentral:lncRNA from 1 species